UACGGAGGGUGCAAGCGUUAUCCGGAUUCACUGGGUUUAAAGGGUGCGUAGGUGGGUCUGUAAGUCAGUGGUGAAAUCUCCAAGCUUAACUUGGAAACUGCCAUUGAUACUAUAGGCCUUGAAUAUCCUGGAGGUGAGCGGAAUAUGUCAUGUAGCGGUGAAAUGCUUAGAUAUGACAUAGAACACCAAUUGCGAAGGCAGCUCACUACGGGAUUAUUGACACUGAGGCACGAAAGCGUGGGGAUCAAACAGG
rnacentral:rRNA from 1 species